rnacentral:rRNA from 1 species
CCUACGGGAGGCAGCAGUGGGGAAUAUUGGACAAUGGGGGAAACCCUGAUCCAGCGACGCCGCGUGUGUGAAGAAGGCCUGCGGGUUGUAAAGCACUUUUAGUGGGGAGGAAAACCCCUGACCUAACACGUCAGGAAUUGACUUAACCCAAAGAAAAAGCACCGGCUAACUCUGUGCCAGCAGCCGCGGUAAUACAGAGGGUGCAAGCGUUAAUCGGAAUUACUGGGCGUAAAGCGUGCGUAGACGGUUAUCUAAGUCGGAUGUGAAAUCCCCGGGCUCAACCUGGGAAUUGCAUUCGAGACUGAAUAGCUAGGGUGCGGAAGAGGGAAGCGGAAUUUCCGGUGUAGCGGUGAAAUGCGUAGAUAUCGGAAGGAACAUCAGUGGCGAAAGCGGCUUCCUGGUCCAGCACCGACGUUCAGGCACGAAAGCGUGGGGAGCAAACAGGAUUAGAUACCCUGGUAGUCCACGCCGUAAACGGUGGGUGCUAGUUGUGGGCCACAUUCCACGUGGUCCGUGACGAAGUUAACACAUUAAGCACCCCGCCUGGGGAGUACGGUCGCAAGACUAAAACUCAAAGGAAUUGACGG